GGGGUGUGCUCAGGGCAGAGGGGCCUGAGGAAAUGGCUCCUCUAAACAUAACAGAGCCAACAAGAAUCUGGGUUAAUUGUGACAAGAGCACAAAACUUGUGGCCUUCUUAUGAACAGAUAGCGCCUACUUGU
rfam:Canis lupus familiaris chromosome X, whole genome shotgun sequence.